AACAAUCAAUCCCAAUCCCCUCUCCCCAGUCCCUAGUAACUUUUCUUUCUCUCUCUAUGAAUUUAACUUUCUUGAUGCUUUACAUAAGAGAGAUCACUUCUAGUCAUUUUUAUAAUAGGUUCUCUUUAAAAAAUAUGACUUGAAUUUAAUGAAUGCUGAAUUUAGUGUCCUGAUUUCUUUCCUUAAUAUUUUAGCAUCAUAAGCAUCUUUUAGGAUUGCCAUAUUCUCUAUAUGAAUAUCAUUAUUAAUGGCUGAACAUUAUCAAAUUGAGUGGAUGUAUCAUCCUUUAUUAUUCUUCCAUUAUUUCCAAAUGUUUGCCAUUUUAUACAAUGUUGGAAGAAUAUAUUUUUAUGUAGAACUUUUAUCACAUUGAGAGGCAUUUCUUUUGUGCAGAAUCAAUAAAUUAAUUACUGAUUUAGAAGAAACAUGAACCUUUUUCCCAUCUGGCCAUCCUGCCAGAUGGCCAGGAAAAAGUUUUCAGAAGGUGCCAUUCACAGAUGGGGUAGGCUUCCACCUAGGGCUAUGAGGCUGUAAGGAUGUUGACCACUUGUAAAGUUGAUUCAAGCAUUGAAUAUCAAGGAAGGGUGGGAAGGGCAGUGAAGCCUCCAAAAUUCUUACGCAGGAGAGGCCGAGGGAUGCUGAUCUCCAUAGAGGGUGACAAAAGUUUUCCUUGAAGAAGCAUGUUCAGGUCAAGCACUGUUCUUUCCUUUAGGCUAUGUGUUUAUUUGGGGUGACUUCAGUUUUGCUGUGUGGAGUCGAAAGCCAUCCCCUAAACCAUCCCCCAAACCAUCUCCUCCACCCAGGGGAGAGCUGCUAUGAGUCAAACCUCUUCAACCUCUGAGGCUGUGUGAUUGCAGGACUCUGCCGUGAUACAGACUGCCAGCUGGGCCCUGGGACUCCGGCGUUGUCACGCCGUCAGGGCUCAUCUGUAACUCUCCUUUCAUCUCAGACAUCACUGCGAGAUGGCUCAUCCUCUCCCUUCCUAGGGAAGCCCUCAUCCAGGCGAGCACGCCUGGGCUUCCCCCCAGCGCGUUCUCGGUAGCGCGGUCUGAUGAACACUGGCCCAGCCGCCGUCAGCGGCUCUCCAAGAAGACGUCAUAACCGUGAGAGAUCUGGAUCGGCCCAUUUUCUCCCCUGUGGCGCCGUGUGCUUUGGCUGCCUGGCCAGAAAGUUGGGCCUAUAUUUACCUAUCAUUUUGAUGCUAUCUUGGGGUGUAAUUGGAAUUGAGCUCUCAGUGUGGAAAUUCUUACUCAGAACACAAAGGACUGAAGGGAGCUUGGAGGCUGAACUCCGGAAGGACUGUUCCCCGAGGCCUCUUGGCAGGAUGGCACUUGUUUCUUGGAGCGGUAGUGUGGCCAACAGUUCUGGUCUUCGUCUCACUGCGUGUCCCUUGAGACGUGUGUGGGGCCCUUCAAACAUCUUCGUGCUCGUCUGAGGGAUGCCACUCUGAUCCAGCUGGAUUCUGAGUCACCGGUCUCGGCCUUCAGAACCACAGUAGAAGGGAGAGAUGAUACAGGACCCCAUGUGUGGAAAGUUCUGUCUUUGUUGCCCAUACCAUCGAUGUGAGCUAGAAAAUGUUUUCAAAGUACAUUCAUUUCAAUGA